rnacentral:rRNA from 1 species
AAUAUUGGACAAUGGGGGCAACCCUGAUCCAGCCAUGCCGCGUGUGUGAAGAAGGUCUUCGGAUUGUAAAGCACUUUCAGUUGGGAGGAAGGGCUUUAGGUUAAUACCCUGAAGUUUUGACGUUACCAACAGAAUCAGCACCGGCUCACUCUGUGCCAUAAGCCGCAGUAAUAACGAGGGUGCAAGCGUUAAUCUGAAUGACUGGGCGUAAAGCACGCGUAGGUGGUUCAGUAAGAUGGGUGUGAAAUCCCCGGGCUUAACCUGGGAACUGCUUUCAUAACUGCUGAGCUAGAGUACGGUAGAGGGUAGUGGAAUUUCCUGUGUAGCGGUGAAAUGCGUAGAUAUAGGAAGGAACACCAGUGGCGAAGGCGACUACCUGGACUGAUACUGACACUGAGGUGCGAAAGCGUGGGGAGCAAAC